rnacentral:rRNA from 1 species
UACGGAGGAUCCAAGCGUUAUCCGGAUUCAUUGGGUUUAAAGGGUGCGUAGGCGGAAUGAUAAGUCAGUGGUGAAAUCCCUGCAGCUUAACUGCAGAACUGCCAUUGAUACUGUCAAUCUUGAGUACAUUUGAUGAGGGCGGAAUGUGUCAUGUAGCGGUGAAAUGCUUAGAUAUGACACAGAACACCGAUUGCGAAGGCAGCUCUCAAAACUGUAACUGACGCUGAGGCACGAAGCGUGGGUACUCAAACAGG